UAAAAUUAUUGUUGACAAAAAUGCACUAGCUGACUUAAAACCAGUUGCUUGGGGUUUUGUUUCUAGUUCAUUCUUACAUUCACUAGUUCUGAGUAAUCACUGAGAUUUUUUUUACCAUUCCUCAUUGCCCAGCACAGUGAGAGAAGUCAGUUUAGUCCAGCUUUUCCCUUACUGAUAUCACUUGUGUUUCAGGGCAGGAUAAACCUUCCAAGUUACCUCUUUCCAUGGCUGAUUCAGGAAAUGGUGGAAGUUGAGAUACUGAAGGUUCAUAUCUUGAGAAAACUCCUGUGGGCAAGGAAGCUCACAAAGAGUUUUCCUUCCCAAGGAGCCAAUAUGAUGAACACUCUCAAAGAAGGGCAGAGAAGCACACCAAACUUCAUCACAGUUUCCCUCCUUGUCAUUUCCCAUUUCCCAGGGAGAUGAACUUCCCUAAAAGAGAAUUUCUGUUUAGCUCAAUUUUGGGUAAAAUAAAUGGUCUCUCCAGUUUAGCCUGUGUGAAAAUUCAGAUGACUGCCAACAUUUAACAGGACUCCUAGCAGUUAACAUUACCAAUACCCCAAGCUACUGGCUAAUAUUAAAUUCUGUACUAGUCCGAUUUUUAUAUUACCAAGAGGCCAGAACUUGAUCAGCCA